ACUUUAUCUCUCCACAUUUCGCACCAAAAUUUAAGGUGAAAAGACUGCUCUCUACCACAUCUCCAUCAAUACUCCUCACCGCCUCACCUCUGCAACAACGCCGAACAAUCGCCGGUAUUCGCAGUGCCACAACGAACAACCGCAGCGCCACACCGAAUAAAAGAUGGAUUCUAGUGCAACCGGUCAAGAAAUAGAAAAUCAAAACGAAGAGAACAUGCAAAUCAUAAAGUAUAAUGCAACAGAACCAGAAAUCGGAAAUCCAACUCCGAUCGACGAAAAUCAAACAACGGUAGAAGAUUCUACCACCGGAGGACAAAACUUUGAAAAAAUCGCUCAAACAACCGAUCCAGAAAAAGCACCAGAAAUUGAAGAGGAACAAAGACAAAUCGCGCCCGAAGAAGAAGCGACGGAGAUAGGUAGAUCAAAUCGAGUGGAGGAACACCGCGAAGAAGAACAACAACAUAUUGAAAACACGCUGCCAGAUGUGAUUAACAAGUGUGGGAGCGUUGUCAUUACGUCCUGACAAGGGAGAUAAAACUUCGGCAUGGAUGAGGAUGAACUAAGCUUCAUGAUAAAUGACAAGAGGCUAAGAUUCAGGAGGUUUGAGUAUGCACUGAUAACAUGGCUCAUAUUUGGACCAUCGACAUUCAACAAUGAUGACGAAGCGAUCAUUCCAGCACAGUCGCAGUUCACGAGGCGAUUCCACAACAAGCCUAUGAGCGUUGAAACACUGAAGGAUCUAUUCAUUAAUGGGAAGAUUACAAAUAACAAAAUGGAUGAUGUGAAUGUUGCCAAGCUACUGCUAGUCUACAACGUACUUUCUUCUUGGAAUGGAACCCAAGAAAAUGAUGACGGAGCCUUGGUUAUGGGCAAUAGUUGAAGAUGACGACCAAUGGAAAAAAUUUCCAUGGGAAAGCUACAACUACCAGCACCUGCUGCAAUACAUGAUGAGCAUAAAGUCGGAACCGACAGUGAGGAUAGAAGAAAACAAGGAUAAGCUAGAGGGAAUUCAUUUCUUUAGAUUCUCGAUUGCUUUCUUGACAUGGAUAUAUAUUGCAAUUCCACAGUUGGGGAAAACUUGUGGCCAUCCAAGAGAGGACUAGGAAAUGCCGAGAAUAUUGAGGUUCAAAUAUCCGAGGACUAAUUCUGUUGUAAUGGAGGUCACGGAAAAUGUAAGUCACAUUUAAAUAGUUAAAUAACAUUGCAUCAAUAUAUAUUCGUUUUAGCAUGUUUAGAAUUAAUAAAUUACUUCAAAUACUAGUAUAAAAUCAAGGGUUAAGGUGCAGAUAGGCCUCUGAAGUGUGAGCCCUUAGAGCGAUUUGCUCCCUUUACUAACUGUGUGUGCAACUUACCCCCUAAACUACCAAAAAUCGCACAUUUAACCCCUUCUUGACUAACACCGUUAGUCAACGUUAGUAAUUUUUUCUUUUAUUCAAAUUAUGGGGCCCACUUGUAGUUUUCUUCAAUUUUUUUAUUACAAUUCGUAUCCCCCUCUACUGCUACUGCCCGGCCAUGGUCAAAGAGAGAAAUGGACUGGCCUAGGCUGAUCUGGGCUUUGCUAAGGGCGUGACGGGAGAGAACGACGGUGGCCUGGCGGUCAUUGUCCAUCGGAGUCCGAGAAAGGCGGGGAUCUGUGAUGUGAGAGGCGAGAGAGAGACCGAGGGAGGCGGCGGCGCUUCGUCGUCACCAAGGGGGAGAUCUAGGGAAGCGACAGAGGCCACGGCGACUGUCGUUGCCAAGGAGGAGGGUUGCUGGGGUAUCCAGUCUAAGAAGCGAGCCGAGAUGGAGAUGAGAGAUGAGGCGGCGGUGACCGACUUUUGAUGCUGCUGCCGUCAAUUGCUAAAUCAAGACGAGAGGGAGAGCCGCUGUUCGCCGGAGGUAGAAGGAGAUUGGGCCACUUUUGGGCCAAUGUUAUUUAACAAAUCUAUCCCUCACUCAUGGCCACCGUCCGCAAAUCAUAUCCUUUGUUAUUGUUUCUUUUAUUGGAGUUUGAUUUCAUUUUCAUUGGAGUUUGGUUUCAUUAGCUUUCUUGUCAGCAUGAACUAAUGUUGGUGUGUAAGAUCCUAUUUUUAGCUACUGUAGAUCUAAGCUUUUUGAAUCUGAGUUUCCCAUCGUUAUUUAUUUUGUGGUGAUUUUGCCUUCUGCCGAGCGUUACUUGUCCGAGUUUCAGGAAUUGAGAUUUUCUAUUUUUCUUGCCCUGGAGAUUUACUUGUUAUGGGUAUUUGAUUUACUUGUCGCCGGGAGGGAGGCACCGCCGCUGACGGUUUGGUGAGAGUGAGAAAGAGAGAUGCAAAGUGAGGAGGAAGAAGAAGCGUAGAAGAAGAAGAAAGGAAGGUGGGCCCCACAAUUAGAAUUUAAAAAAUAAAAGAAAAAAUCACUAACUAACGUUGACUAACGGUGUUAGUCAAGAAGGGGUUAAAUGUGCGAUUUUUGGUAGUUUAGGGGGUAAGUUGCACACACAGUUAGUAAAGGGAGCAAAUCGCUCUAAGGGCUCACACUUCAGGGGCUUAUCUGCACCUUAACCCUAAAAUCAAACUGAUCUAUAAUUCACAACCAUCACAACCAUUAGAAAUAUUGGUUGUGAAUUACCAAUUAGAAAUUAGAUUUCACAACCAAUAUUUAUGUGACAAUUGCGACGGAAGACUUAUUUGAAUUACAAAAGUGGGUAAAGUACAAAAGUGAAGAAGAGACGCCGGAGUCAAGUUCACAAAAUGAACUUCAGAUUGCGACGGAAGACUUAUUUGAAUUGUCGCAGUUUGUCAUUGGAGAUCAACCAUCGUGGGGCCAUAUUAAACUAUGGCAAGAUUAUGAUAAGGUAAAAAUCACUAACUCUGUAUUAAAAUAUUAAACUAUUAUGUUUCAAAAAAAAUAUUAAACUAUUAGAAAUUUUACAACCAAAGAAAAUGUUAGUUGGGAAUUCAAGCUUGAAAGCUUGAAUUCACAACCCACGACUACUUUUGGUUGUGAAUUAGUGUUUUUGAGCAAAAAUUGGAAACUGCAAGUAUUUUUGUUGUGAUUAAAGAUUUAAAUUUUCAAUUCACAACCAAAAAAUAGGUAGUCAGUGUAAUGUGUUUAAAUUAAUAUGAAUAUAAAUACUCCUCCGUCUCACAAAAACAUGAACACUUUUCAAUUUUGGGGUGUCUCACAAAAACAUGAACAUUUUCUUUUUUGUACAUUGCCUCCUUACUUUUUAUCCCUCCUUUUUAUACUUAUUCACAAAAAAAUCAUCAUGGUCCACCACUAUUUUUCCUUAAUUAAUUCAUUAGUCUCACAACACUUUAUAAAGUGGGACCCAUUUUCCACUCACAAUAAUUUUCAACUAACAUUUCUUAAGACCCGCGCCACUUCCAAUUGUUCAUAUUUUUGUGAGACAGAGGGAGUAUGAAAUAUGUUAAUGAUUUCUGUUUCCAAUUGUGAUUCAACAUUUGAAAAUUAAAGGAUAAAUCCACACUAGUAAUUUGGAUUAGAACUGUUAUUUAAGUUGUGAUUCAAGCUCUGAAUUAACAAAUUGAAUUCACAACUGUGACAAACAUGGUUUUCGUACCUCAAUAUUGCAUGAAUUGUUGUCUUUUUCCCCCUAGAAUUGAAUAUUAAUAUGUGUUUGUUUCCCCAUUUUGAGUUUUGUUGAAUUUUGAUGCUUGGUGUAGCUUUUGGAGUGAUUUCAGGGAAAAUCAACGAUAAAUUAGAGAGUUUUGAAAACAUGAGGUUGAAGUUCAUCUCGAGAGAAAUCUGUGAGCGCAAAUGGCGACCAAAUCGGAGUUCGGACGAGGGAGAACGAAGCCGAAAAAGCGGACUGUGCAUAAAGCCCAGGACCCCGCGGUCCGGGCCGCGGCCACCGGCCCGACCGCGGGCCUCUGCUCCAAAAUUGCCCAGUAAGCCGCGGUUCGGGCCGCAGCCGUGGGCCCGACCGCGGGCCUCUACUCCAAGGCAGUCCAGAACAUUUUUGGCAAGCACCCGCGGUCCGAGCCGCGGCCGCGGCCUCCCCUCCUUCCAUGCAGCCGCGUUCUCAACCACGGUUCAUGCCGUGGUCGCGGGGAAAAGGCGGGAUUGCUCCCUUUGGUGGGCCCAAACGCGAUUUUUGCCCCAAAAACCCCUUUCCCCCCUCUUUUCUCACAUCAUUCACCAUACACACCCAAUUCCAUCUUCCCCAAUCCUCCACACAAAAACCCUAACCUCCAUUAAUGCUCACACCUACCUUUUGAAGAAGCGUUGAAGGGGAGAGAAGAUUCAAGAAAGCCCAUUAAUAGGAUUUGUCACUCAUUACUCUCUCUUUCAUAUAUGUUCUUCUUUGAUUUAAGUAUGUUGUUUGUGAACAUGGUAGGCUAAAACCCCCAUUGGUUUGGGGGUUAGGCUAGUAGAUUAUGUAAUGGAUUGAUUAUUAUGCUUAAUAUAUGUCUUGUUUACUUCCUUGUCA